rnacentral:misc_RNA from 1 species
GAUGAAGAACGUAGCGAAAUGCGAUACGUAAUGUGAAUUGCAGAAUUCAGUGAAUCAUCGAAUCUUUGAACGCAUAUUGCGCUCUCUGGUAUUCCGGAGAGCAUGCUUGUUUGAGUAUCAGUAAACACCUCAACUUCCAUAUCUUUUUUUGUAAUGGGAGUUGGACUUGAGUGAUCCCAACGCUUUUCCUCACCGAAAAGUGGCGGGUUACUUGAAAUGCAGGUGCAGCUGGACUUUUCUCUGAGCUAUAAGCAUAUCUAUUUAGUCUGCCUAAAAAACAGAUUAUUACCUUUGCUGCAGCUAACAUAAAGGAGAUUAGUUCUUGUGCUGACUGAUGCAGGAUUCACAAAGACAGCUUCGGCCGACUUUGUAAACUCGAUCUCAAAUCAAGUAAGACUACCCGCUGAACUUAAGCAUAUCAAUAAGCGGAGGA